CACACACCUGUCUUCUUCUUCUUCUUCUUCUUCUUUACUUCUUCUUUUCCUCUUUCUCCUUCUUUAUUUUUCU
rnacentral:ribozyme from 1 species